rnacentral:rRNA from 1 species
GGCUCAGGAGAAACGCUGGCGGCGCACAUAAGACAUGCAAGUCGAACGGAAUUAGUCAAAUGUUUACCAUGAGACGAAGAUUUAGUGGCGGACGGGUGAGUAACACGUGAGCAACCUACCUUCAAGAGGGGGAUAACAUUGAGAAAUCAGUGCUAAUACCGCAUAACACUAUGAAAAGACAUCUUUUUUAUAGUCAAAGGAGAAAUCCGCUAGAAGGUGGGCUCGCGGUUGAUUAGCCAGUUGGCAGGGUAACGGCCUACCAAAGCGAUGAUCAGUAGCCGAGCUGAGAGGCACAACGGCCACAUUGGGACUGAGACACGGCCCAGACUCCUACGGGAGGCAGCAGUCGGGAAUAUUGCACAAUGGAGGAAACCCUGACGCAGCGACGCCGCGUGAAGUGAGGAAGGCCUUCGGGUCGUAAAGCUCUGUCAAGAGGAAAGAAGUGUACAAUGGCUAAUACCUGUUGUAUUUGACGGUACCUCUAAAGGAAGCACCGGCUAACUCCGUGCCAGCAGCCGC